CAGCCGCCGCGGUAAUACGAGGGGGGCAAGCGUUGUUCGGAAUUAUUGGGCGUAAAGGGCGCGUAGGCGGUUUGACAAGUCUUGUGUGAAAUCUCUGGGCUCAACCCAGAGUCUGCACGGGAAACUGUCGGGCUAGAGGAUGGGAGAGGUGAGUGGAAUUUCCGGUGUAGCGGUGAAAUGCGUAGAUAUCGGAAGGAACACCUGUGGCGAAAGCGGCUCACUGGACCAUUACUGACGCUGAGGCGCGAAAGCUAGGGGAGCAAACAGGAUUAGAUACCCCCGUAGUCCCUGUCUCUUAUAC
rnacentral:rRNA from 1 species